GUCUCCGUGGCGCAAUUGGUUAGCGCGUUCGACUGUUAUUCUCAAAGAAUACAUCGAGAGGUUGACAGUUCAAUCCUGUCCGGGGACG
rfam:Puccinia sorghi strain RO10H11247 Scaffold_2508, whole genome shotgun sequence.